GACAGAGGGUGCAAACGUUGUUCGGAAUUACUGGGCGUAAAGCGUGUGUAGGCGGCUAUGUAAGUCGGAUGUGAAAGCCCUGGGCUCAACCCAGGAAGUGCACUCGAUACUGCGUAGCCAGAGUACCGGAGAGGUUGGUGGAAUUCUCGGUGUAGAGGUGAAAUUCGUAGAUAUCGAGAGGAACACCGGUGGCGAAGGCGGCCAACUGGACGAGUACUGACGCUGAGACACGCAAGCGUGGGGAGCAAACAGG
rnacentral:rRNA from 1 species